rnacentral:lncRNA from 1 species
GAAUGUUUUGCAAGGUGUUGUAAAUUGUAAACACCUUUGCCCUUUGCCUUCACUCAUUCAAUCAAUUCGCAAUUUGACGUCUUGUAUAAAUAUUGUCAAAGUUGAAUAACAUUUUAUAAACGACAUGUCGGCACCCACCAGAUCUUUACUGUAUGCUAUUGGUCUCACAGCUGUUGGAGGAGCACUUUUCUAUGUGAUAACUCCUUCAUCUGAAAAAUUUCAAUACAAACUAAACGAGGAGCAAGGAGUGCUUGGCAGGAACCGGACUGAAUCGGAACAAAACACCCAGGCUCUAAUUUCCAAGCUGCAACGGGAGGCUGGAUUAACACCUAAAGAAAAAUGAUGCCUAGUACACUGCGUUUAGCUCAACUUUCACUUCCUCGAUGUUCCAUAUUACAUCAACCAUUUGUGAAACCGGCUCAUUUUGCCACUUCUUCUUUUUCUUCUUCUCGAUGACAUUCAGGCUGUCAAUCCAGUGGUGUGCACAUAUUGUGCAGUUCUCUUCAGAUCUUUGGGGCUGUCGUACAAUUUUCUCUCUAGUGAUGUACUUACUUACUUACUUUGAGAAUAGGCAUCUUUGCAGGCGACACAAUGCCAUAGCUGCUCCUCCCUCCUCUCCAGGAUCCGUGAAAGGGUCGAAAGGGUAUACAUCUAGUGAUUUAGCAUAUAUGUAUGUAUUGCCAUUUUGCUGUGCUCCUAGGGUUAUUUAAACGAGUACAGUAAUGCAAGAUAUGGUGGCUGUUCUCUGGGCUUUGGCUAUGUCAUUGAUGCAUAUAUAUAUAUUUGGGAUGUGUCUCUGACUUUAAAUAAGGAGUCAUUUGCUGUUUCAGUCAUUUCACCUUUUUUCGUUUAGUAAAUAAAAAGUAACUUUUUUGUUAUUUCCCUUUAUUUCUUUUUCCUGGACCUUUGUUUCCAAAUUUGUCAUCCCUCCUCAGUGUCUUGUGAAGCAGAAUCCUUUGUAUAUAUAUAUAGAUCUACAUUGUGUACAGUUAAUGAUUGGUUGGUUUUGCAGUAGGGAGCAGUUGUUGACAUUUGACAGUUAUCAUUUUGUAAGUUUUGCGGUGGUUGUGGGGAUGGUUGGGGAGUGCUCUGGUGUGGUUCACUCCUUCUUUCGUUCAAAUAUAUGUUCUCCUUAUUAAAAUCUCUUCUCUGUUAUUUUUUUGCAUGUUACUUUCUAGUAGCACCUCUAAUCUUUAGCACUUAUUUAUACUACCUUAUUGUUUUGCAAGUGCUGUAAAACUCUUAUUAAAGCUAAAAAAGUAAACCAAGUAGAGAACAUCCUUCAACUUACAAGUGCAGCUUCAGGGCAGUAAGUCGUCGUGAUAUGUUUUCCGUCCUUGAAGAAACUGUUCGUUAUGGAAGAACUGAAAUGUAAGACGUGUUCUAUUUGUUUGCUUUAAUACUAUUCAGCUAAACUAGUUUGUUUCAGAAGAAUUGUGUUUCUUUUCUGUUGUAUUGCUCAAGGUUUGGCUCCCUUGUGCUUUUAAUUUAUUGUGAAACGCCUCGAGUAGAGCCCCAGGGAGUGGGCGCUGUAGAAGAAGUUAUUUAUAAAGUGAUUUUGUUAUUAUUAUCAUGAAAGUAUUUUUGAAAGUGUCUGUCGGGACCCCAAACAAGGUCUCCCUGGCCUCUUCCUAUUAUUAUCAUAAUUAUUGUUGUUAUUAGCAAAAGCAUGUCAUUUUGAAGGUAGUCAGAGAAUUGCUCUAAACUUAUUUGAGUUAGAAUCAAAAUUUAUUUGAGUUAGAAUCUAAAACAAUUGAAUAAGAGUGGGCGGUUGGCUGGUGCUCUGGUGUGGUUUACUUCUUCUUUCCUAUUGAACAUCAAUCGUCCUUAUCUCCCCCUUCUUCUUUUAUAUGUUUGUUACUCUCUUGUAACACCUCUAAUCUUCUGGCGCUCAUAUGACCUUAUGCAGUUGCGAGCGCCGUAAAACCUCUGCUAAAAAAGAAAAAAAAAACAAUAAGAGAAGAAGGACAAAGAGGUGUGAGAGGCAAUAUAAUAAUUAAUAUAUAUAUAUCUCACUUUUUUGCACAUGAGCAGAGAAAUCUUCACAUGUUCUGAUGCACCAUAAGAUUAGUGACCCUUUCUUAUGAGCAAUACGGUUCUUUGUAACCGCUUCUCUCCCCCCCCCCCCCACCACACACACCCACACACUCACAAGUUUCAUCCAACUGAAAGGAAGGCAAUAGAUUCCAUUUCUUGUUCCACUUGAUCUUACAACUGCACGUUUCUAGUGAAGUUUUCCCUGUACAGUACAUUGCCUUACUGACAUUGUGCAGAGUACAUGACAAUUGAGCACAAGGGCUGUUUGUUGAAGUCUAUUUAGUGAAAGAAGAAAAAAAGGGUGGGGGGAUAUAAAAUAGUUGUUUUAUUGACAUUGAUGCCUGUUUUCUAUCUGAUUGAAUGAUAGUGAUAAUAUGACAAUUGUAUCGUAGAGAUAAACUGAAAGGGUAUUUUGUAACUUGUGAUAACAAUAAUUACAAUGUAUGAAUCGUGUGUCAGGGUUUUUGGUCAAUUUACAUGUAAGGUAUGUAGUUUGUUUUGUGAGUGUUUUUGCAUUGUUCACAAUUCACAAGGUAUUAUGUGUUGAUCUUGACAUAACACACUGCAGGACUAAUCUUCCAAUGGCAUUUUUGAGUAGCUAAAAUGUUUACUAUUGACCAACAUGUGCUUUCAGCAGUGAAGAGAUGUGUUGUCAUCUCUUUGUUGCAUAGAUGAAUAAAUGCAUGAAUUAUAAAUAAUAAUGUUGUUUCUUGGAA